rnacentral:sRNA from 1 species
AUACAUCUAGAUCCAUACCCCUAAACUCCCUAGAUGUUUUUGGGUAGUACUCUUAGCAGUGCUGCUCUUUNAAA